UCGAUCCCCGGCAACGGCGCCA
rnacentral:siRNA from 1 species